AGCGAACGCUGGCGGCAGGCUUAACACAUGCAAGUCGAGCGGGCGUAGCAAUACGUCAGCGGCAGACGGGUGAGUAACGCGUGGGAACGUACCUUUUGGUUCGGAACAACACAGGGAAACUUGUGCUAAUACCGGAUAAGCCCUUACGGGGAAAGAUUUAUCGCCGAAAGAUCGGCCCGCGUCUGAUUAGCUAGUUGGUAGGGUAAUGGCCUACCAAGGCGACGAUCAGUAGCUGGUCUGAGAGGAUGAUCAGCCACAUUGGGACUGAGACACGGCCCAAACUCCUACGGGAGGCAGCAGUGGGGAAUAUUGGACAAUGGGGGCAACCCUGAUCCAGCCAUGCCGCGUGAGUGAUGAAGGCCCUAGGGUUGUAAAGCUCUUUUGUGCGGGAAGAUAAUGACGGUACCGCAAGAAUAAGCCCCGGCUAACUUCGUGCCAGCAGCCGCGGUAAUACGAAGGGGGCUAGCGUUGCUCGGAAUCACUGGGCGUAAAGGGUGCGUAGGCGGGUCUUUAAGUCAGGGGUGAAAUCCUGGAGCUCAACUCCAGAACUGCCUUUGAUACUGAAGAUCUUGAGUUCGGGAGAGGUGAGUGGAACUGCGAGUGUAGAGGUGAAAUUCGUAGAUAUUCGCAAGAACACCAGUGGCGAAGGCGGCUCACUGGCCCGAUACUGACGCUGAGGCACGAAAG
rnacentral:rRNA from 1 species